AGGGCUCUGAUAAUGGCAUCAGGCACCCUCAUCUGUUUGUUGCAUGAAGUCUCUCCUUCCACUUUGGUUUUAUGUCAUGCUGCAGGCGCUCACACCCCCUGCAGUAAAACAUGAGAGCCAGUCAUGUCUGAGUGAGAGAGGAACUGCUUUGUUUGUGCGUUGACAUGUUGUUAUUUCACUCUUCACUAACUGUUAUAUCUGUUACUCUGUUUACUAGAGGAGCUGUGUUUACUGUCUGCUGACUUGACACUGCAGUCAGAGGAGACUGCAGAGACACGACGACACAGAUUUUAUCGCAUAGGUGGUUGCAGGUGGAGUGGUGUUUACACGGUCUGUGGGAGCUAUGGCUGUGUCUUCAGAUAUGCAGCGCCAACGGAUGACAUCUGAGAAGAAGAGGAAUGUUAUACAAACCAACUGAGACAACAUCUUCUCUGUGUUGAAGCUCUGAGAUCUCUCGGAGGCGGCUGAGCCGCUUUUGAUGAGCCUAACCUGUGUUUCUCCAGCUGCUCCCCCAGCGUUUUGUGGAAGAAGGAGACCCCCCCCCCCCC